UGCCAGCAGCCGCGGUAAUACGAAUGGGGCAAGCGUUGUUCGGAAUCACUGGGCUUAAAGCGUGCGCAGGCGGAAAAGAAAGUCAGAAGUGAAAUCCCGAGGCUCAACCUCGGAACUGCUUUUGAAACUCCUUUUCUAGAAUCCCGGAGGGGCCAGUAGAAUUCCUAGUGUAGAGGUGAAAUUCGCAGAUAUUAGGAGGAAUACCAGUGGCGUAGGCGACUGGCUGGACGGGUAUUGACGCUCAUGUACGAAAGCGUGGGGAGCAAACAGGAUUAGAUA
rnacentral:rRNA from 1 species